rnacentral:lncRNA from 1 species
CGAGGAAAUUCACCUGUAGUAAGGACAUGUUUGGUUCAUGAUUGGAAUAUGAAUGAGAAAUAGAAUUGGAUUAUUUUGGAAUGAAAAAUGGAACGACGAAUCAUCUAAAAAUGUUUGGUUCAUUAUUGGAAUGAAAAUCGGAAUGAAAAUUUAAAAUUUUUGAGAGAGAGUUUUGAUUAAAAGAGAGGAAAGUGACGAAGGGAGAUGAGAUAGAUGUUGGUGAAAGAGGAUUUUUAAUAGUUUAUUUUUGGAAUGAGUCAAUCCGGAAUUCAAAGCCGAAUUGCAUCGUAAAUGAAUUUGGCCAUUCCCAUUCC